GACGAACCGUGCGAACGUUAUUCGGAAUCACUGGGCUUAAAGCGCGUGUAGGCGGGCCCCACGUCGGUCGCUGAAAGCCCCCGGCUCAACCGGGGAACGGGCGGCGAAACGAGGGGCCUGGAGGGGUGUGAGGGGGACCGUGAACUCCGGUGGAGCGGUGAAAUGCGUUGAGAUCGGAAGGAACGCCCGUGGCGAAAGCGAGGUCCUGGACGCCAUCUGACGCUGAGACGCGAAGCC
rnacentral:rRNA from 1 species